UAGGGAAUUUUCGUCAAUGGGGGCAACCCUGAACGAAGCAAUGCCGCGUGAGCGAAGAAGGUCUUCGGAUUGUAAAGCUCUGUUGCCGGGAAAAGGAAGGAAAGAGGAAAUGCUUUUCUUUGGAUGGUACCCGGCCAGAAAGUCACGGCUAACUACGUGCC
rnacentral:rRNA from 1 species